UUGGGUGACCAAGUGCUCCAGUGUGCCCAGGAGUGAAGCUUCCUGGUGUAGGGCACUUCGAUGACUGCACAAGAAAGGACUGCCACCGACCAGCUUAGAACAAUGCCCGUAUGAACUUACACCCAAAUGGCUGGGUAGCUCCAAGUCUCCAAGGCUGAAAAUCAAGUGUUGACCAGGCCGAGUCAUCCGCUGGAGAUUCUGGGACCCCAGAGUGGAGGCAGAGCCGUGGUGAGUCUGGGAACCGGCAUCUUCUGCAGACGCCACAGCCCAGGAGCAGGUCAUAAUACCAAAUAAAUGCCUUUGGGCAAGAAUGUUAGUUAGAUCGCAACAUCUGGAAGAGACUGAAAGAACCAGCUGACAUCGGGAAAUCAUUGUCCUAUUUUUGCCUCUGGCACCAACAAGCUCUGUGACCUUAAUGUCUCCGUGGAUGCCCCGGCAGGAUGAAGGCCUCGCUCAGCAGCCAGCCGCCUGUAGACACUGGCUUUUCCUACUCAGAUGGAACCAACAUGCUCCCUUAUUACUAUUAUUUUUAACUUUAAGUCUCAGAUCCCGAGGGCAAGGAGUUCUGCUGGCUUUUGAUCAGAUGACACCUUGACCUGGAUCCCGAGGCAUUUUGGUAGGUCUAGCUCUGAUGCUGAUUGCUGUGUGACCUUGAAACAGUCACUUCCCCUUUCUGGACCACAGCCGCCUCAUUUGGAAAACGGAGAGGUUGACCAGAGAGUCUCUAAGGUGGCUUCCGGACUUAAAGUAAGGUGUCUCUUACUUUAUAAAACCUGACAUCUGAAACAAUAAAUAAAAUCUACCCUCCCCAAAUAACGUUUUACUUAUGAGAAAGGCCAAUAAAGGUAAAACUGCUUGUAUUACACACAUGAAUUUUGAAAAAUAACUGCUUCAUUUUAGAAAUAGUUUGAUUUACAUGGAGCACUUCAAAUUCUCUUGUACUUAUAAUUGAUAAAAUUUUGUCUAGUUGGACAUUUCAGGGAUGGUUCUUUAUCCCUAGCAGCUGACCCUGCCACAUCCAUCAGAAAAAUUCAGCAGAAGCAUCUCCAUAAUGUUCAGCUGAAAUCUCUAAUGGGGGUGAUCAAAUCAGGCUUAAUGUUCGCUUUGGCGAACAGUCACUUGGAGAGCAUGUGUUGCUUUCUCAUUAUCAUUUUAUUUCUGCCAUUAGCCACAUUUAAGAAUAUAAAUCACUACUAAUAUCUUUUCAGAAUGAAGGUUAACCCUCUCACCUCAGAGCUGAUCAUCAUUGCAAGUGAGGAGGGGGGCCGUUGUGGGAGGAGGAGGGGACCCAGGGCAAAGAGAGCUUGUGUGGUGUGACCUUGGGUAAGUCACUUCCCUCCCUGGGACUCAGUUUCCUUAUAUGUAAAUGUGGGGUGCCUGCAGGUCUGACCCUGCUCUAUGAGAUUUCUGUACAAUAAUGUCAGCAGUCACUGGGAUGGUCGUGUGUGAGAAAGGUCUCCCUCCCGGCGUUUCGGAUGACUGCCUCCCCUUGGUUUAUUCCAGGGGGUGGGAAGCACACACACCCACUGUGUCCUUUCACUUGAGAAGGGAAACGUGGACAGCUUCAGCUCAAGUGCUUCCUGGGUGAAUCGUCGCCUGGUUUUCCUAUUUGGUCCUGCAGGAAUAGGGACAUGUCUGUUCUGGAAGCCUCAGGCAGCCUUCCUGCAGGACGCAGUGAAAAAAAAAUUUUUUUUUUUUAAAAGAUUUUAUUUAUUUGACAGAGAGAGACAGCAAGAGAAGGAACACUCAUGGAGGGAGUGGGAGAGGGAGAAGCAGGCUUCUCGCCGAGCAUGGAGCCAGAUGUGGGGCUUGAUCCCAGGACCCUGGGAUGCUUAACCCACUGAGCCACCCAGGUGCCCUGGGACUUAGUGAAAUCCAUACUCUGCCACACCGAGGCCGGGCAAGGAGUCCACGGGGGCACCGCAAGCUGCUCAUGUUUAAAGCCGGGUUUUAAAGCUGGGCUCUUCAGUCUCCCUGAUCUCUCAGUUACCUCCCUCCUGCGGUUUCCUAUUCCCUUGGUAGAGUCUUUUUUUCACGUUCUAGCCCCCCUUCAGCAGACUCUGGACCUCACCUGGGAAGAUGUUUGGGGCCAGCAUGUGAGGAAAAGUGCAGCCCUCCCAGGGGACCACCAUGGAGGGAGGCGUGGUGGUCUUCAGACCCCUCCGAGGAGGACAAGGUGGGUCCUUG